rnacentral:ncRNA from 1 species
UAAUACAUGGGGAGCUUGCGCAGGCAGGCUGAGAGGAAGCGGCGCUUCGACCCUUUGACCUGAUUUGGAUAAUGCCAACGCAGGGAAGGUUUCUU